AUUGAGUCAACUAAUUAAGUUUCGAGUAUAAUCUUAAAAAUUUUAGAUUUUUUUAUACGAUUAGCCUAUAUAUAAUAACAAUCAAGAAACCCAUUUCAGUAACAUGGACAAAAAAUUAGGAAAAAGAACCAAAAUGUGAAAUGGUUGAAGAAAGAAAUGCAGCAAGUACCUCUCAGAAAUGCAGCAAGUGGCUCUAAAGAUGCCAAGAGCAGUCAUAAUCGUACUGCUGGAGACCAUGUGUAGCGUAUGUCAACUGAAGGGUAAAAAAGGAGGACAGUAAAAUAGGGAAAUAUAACCUUGGAUUGGA
rnacentral:misc_RNA from 1 species